AAUCAGGCCUAUCUGAGUAUCUUAUUUCUUACAGGGGAAAGUCUGCCAUGACUAAGGAUGCACAAUUUGCCCUUCGUAGAGGCAACAUUUGUUUUUUACUUUUCUUGGCAUUUUUAUUCAAUUUGAUUAUAAUUUAUGAAAAUCUCUGCAUCAUUUGCUUUUCAGUGAUUGAGAAAUACACCAAAAGCAAUAUAUUUGCAUUAAUUUGCAACAAUGUCAAUAAAAUUAUUUCAGCACUGCAAGCAAGAUGUACAAGGUUCUGCUUUGCCCCCCUUGAUGCUGUUCAUGUCAGGGAGAGGCUCAAACAUGUAAUUGAAUCUGAAGGCUUGAUGUUCCGGAAAAUGGUAUGACAGCUCUUGUAAAGCUUAGUAAUGGUGAUAUAUAGAAAAGCUUUGAAUAUUUUGCAGUCAACACAUAUGGCCUGCCAGCAGAUCACGGAAGAAGCUGUUUACUUGUGCACUGGGAAUCCGUUGCCUAAAGACAUUGAGCAGAUUUCCCAUUGGCUCCUUAUGUUUACAUCAGUUCACAUAACUUAGAGCUGACUAUAACUCAGUCAUCUAUUUAGGAAAGACAACUGGAUUUCAAUGUGUUACUAUAUACUAUUGCACAUACUUCUUUGCAGAUAUAGGUUGAGCAUGGCAUGCAAUGAGAAGCUGCAGCUGGGCUCAUUAAUUGCUGCUUUUACACGAGCUAGAGGUUCGAUAGUUGCUGCUACAGAAUGACGAUCAUGUCUUGACGAGUUUUUCUUAGUGUGGUACUCCUUCUAUGUUACCAUACAGUAACAACUAACUCCAUUUCGUAGUUUGAUUGAUUGCAGUGUAUAUUUUUCUACUUGAGAGAUGUGAACUUUAUCUCUGUAUCUUUGAUAGGCUUAUAUCAAUUGUCUUAACACUUAUAGCUUCCAUUUUAUCCAUU